AUUUGAACAUGAACCAAACCCACACAAAAUUGCCAUCAAUCACCGUCAAAAUUAAUCGUAAAACUCCGAUGAACAUCCGGCGAAUCACUCGUUCUCUCUCCAUCAAAGUUAGUCGUAAACUCGUAAAACAGUGAUGAUAUUCUCCGAUUUGAACAUCCGGCGAAUCAGUCCCACUUUCUCUCUCCAAAUCUCCUGGUAAUCUGGUCCAUGAAUCGCUAAUCUGCUACUACCCUGGCAGAGUUGCAGAUAUUCAAUGUCAAGGAGUGGAAAAUAGUAGAUAUUUGAGGAGAUGGGGAUGGAGGAAUGUCGGACGGAGAUGGCAAGAAGGUGAAGACGAAGAUGCGUUGUUGGAGAACAGAAGUGGAGUCUGGGUUUGGGUUUGGGACUUUGAAGAUUUUUUUUCCUUUUAUUCCUUUUACUUAGUAAUUACCUAAUGGGCUUUGAUUCUAUUGGGGGUGGGUUUUGGGUUCUUCAUGCCCAUUUUUUUGAUGUUUUUUUUAUCUCCGUUUUUUCUGAUAUUUUUGUGUAUGAUGUGAGAAGAUGAUUAUUAAUGUAUUAUUGUUAUUAUUGGUAAUUAAUAAUAUCACAUAUUAAAUAAUUAUGAUUUACGUGGUAUUUAU